AGCCCAGAGGAGCGCGCCGGAGCUGCCCCGGGACACGCGCGGCUGUCUGGGGGGUACUGAGCAUCCGCGGCUCUGCCAAGACGCGGCUGCCUUCGUAACUGACUCACCGUUACCGGAAGACAAACGACCCUGGCCCACGCUCUGACAUGGAAAGCUCCAAUAUGGAAGAGCAUCUGGAAGAUAAUAUCUCUGUCCAAUAAGACAUCUAAAAACACUUCAGAUGAAGUCUUAAACAGAAAUAAAUAGGCGGAGAAAAAAGAUGUGAAAGUCAAAUAAAAAGCCCAAAACCAGUCUGGUUGGUGAGGAGAGAAAUUAAUACACCAGCACAUGUAGUCUCCAACAAUGAAAAUAUGGUAAAAUUGCUCCCUUUCCACUAGCCGGCUUGGCAUUGUGUAAGGGGCUCCGCAUCCUUAUCAGAGAGUGCACAGAAGGAGUGGCGUAGAGCUGGAAAGAAGAAAAGGUCUCGAUUCUACAAGUGGAACAAGGGAAAAGGAACAUUAAUGGAAUGACUUGUAAGGGAAACUGUGAUAUUAUCAGGAAAUUUGGCUAAUUACUAAGCAAGUUUGUGUACUCUGAGAAGUCCUACCAAGAUUUUGAAAGUAUUUACUUCAUAACGACAUGGCCAGAAUCCAAGGGCUGGGUUUAUAUUGAGUUUCCCCACCGUGAAGCAGAAGAGCCGGACAUCAGCCUUGACAUCGCUGCAGCAGACUUGACAUUCACGAGGUUUUCUUUCCAAGAUCUUCACUUAUAAAAACCAGGUCAGUCCUGUAGAGUAUCCCACAUUCUGGGCUUUUCAAUGCUUUCUUGUGGUGUCAUUUCAAUUGUUCUUCUCUCCCCUGUAUUUCC